GUAGUUUGAUCGUGGCUCAGGAUGAACGCUGGCGGCGUGCUUAACACAUGCAAGUCGAACGGGCUCAUAUUGAAACCUAGUGAUUUAUGAGUUAGUGGCGGACGGGUGAGUAACGCGUGGUAAAACCUGCCGUAUACUGGGGGGAUAACACUUAGAAAUAGGUGCUAAUACCGCAUAAGCGCACAGCUUCGCAUGAAGUGGUGUGAAAAACUCUGGUGGUAUACGAUGGUUCCGCGUCUGAUUAGCUUGUUGGCGGGGUAAUGGCUCACCAAGGCGACGAUCAGUAGCCGGCCUGAGAGGGUGAACGGCCACAUUGGGACUGAGACACGGCCCAAACUCCUACGGGAGGCAGCAGUGGGAUAUUGCACAAUGGGGGAAACCCUGAUGCAGCGACGCCGCGUGAGUGAAGAAGUAUUUCGGUAUGUAAAGCUCUAUCAGCAGGGAA
rnacentral:rRNA from 1 species